CGGAGGAGCAGCUCUGUGUCCAGCUUAGAGGACUGGAAGAGGCCGCAACCUUCUGCCUGCUGGAGGGUGGAGGAUGGAUGGAGCCUGGAGCCUAGGUCACUACCUUGCUGCGGUUGGUGGUGGCGAUAGAGCAGUAGGAGAGCGGUCAGCAGCAGGAGGACUAGAAGGAAGAGGCACUGCCACAUGCUGGAGGCUGGAACCUGUGCCACCAUGGCUCGCCUCGCUGUGGUUGGUGGUGACGUCGGAGACUGCAGCUCAGCCACGGUGGUAGACAUGUGAUGGGCUGCUCCAAGCCAGGCUGAAGGAGG
rnacentral:lncRNA from 1 species